GUCUACAGCCAUGCCACCUUGAACAAGCCCGAUCCCGUCUGAUCUCGGAAGCUAAGCAGGAUUGGGCCUGGUUAGUACUUGGAUGGGAGACCACCUAGGAAGACCAGGUGCUGUAGGCG
rnacentral:rRNA from 1 species